rnacentral:rRNA from 1 species
AUUGAACGCUGGCGGCAGGCCUAACACAUGCAAGUCGAACGAGUGGCGGACGGGUGAGUAAUGUCUGGGAAACUGCCUGAUGGAGGGGGAUAACUACUGGAAACGGUAGCUAAUACCGCAUACCAUCGGAUGUGCCCAGAUGGGAUUAGCUAGUAGGUGGGGUAAAGGCUCACCUAGGCAACGAUCCCUAUCUGGUCUGAGAGGAUGACCAGCCAAACUGGAACUAGAACACGGGCCAGACUCCUACGGAAGGCAGCAGUGGGGAAAAUAGCACAAAGGGGGCAAGCCGGAUGCAGCAAUGCCGCGUGUAUGAAGAAGGCAUUCGGGUUGUAAAGUACUUUCAGCGAAGAGACGUUACCCGCAGAGGAGGCACCGGCUAACUCCGUGCCAGCCGCCGCGGUAAUUC